UACGGAGGGUGCGAGCGUUGUUCGGAAUUACUGGGCGUAAAGCGCGUGUAGGCGGCGUCGUAAGUCGGAUGUGAAAGCCCUCGGCUCAACCGAGGAAGUGCAUCCGAUACUGCGAUGCUUGAGUCUCGGAGGGGGUGGCGGAAUUCCCGGUGUAGAGGUGAAAUUCGUAGAUAUCGGGAGGAACACCUGUGGCGAAGGCGGCCACCUGGACGAGUACUGACGCUGAGACGCGAAAGCGUGGGUAGCAAACAGG
rnacentral:misc_RNA from 1 species